AUGAAAGUUAUAAUAUAAAAAGUAAGCUGAUUUUACCCGUCCACCUGAAGAUUAUAAUAGUGUAGUGAAAGGAAGAAAAGAAGCUAAUAUUAUCUUAAAAUUUUCAUAUAUAUAUACUUAUAUUACAUGUAUAAAAAGUGUUCACGGACAUAUGAAAUCCGAAGUGUGUUCAUAUCAUGUAAAUCUUGUAUUUACAUACAUAGAAUGGCAUAUGUUUUAUACGAUUUUUUUUUUGUUAUUUUUGAUUCAUGUUCAUCAUAUAAACAUGAUAUUUUACUUCAUGAUCAUAACGCUCGCAAUAUUGAGAUUUCGUUCCAUUUUACAUAUCACGCCGUUGUGUGUUCAUAAAUUGAAUGAAGUAGGUUGUUCAUGAUACUAUCGUGUACCUACAUGUAUUGAACAAGCCCAUGUGUUCUUUUAUCAAUACCACUGAACUAUAGUGCCUGAAUUACUGUACAUAAUACUGCUGUUUUAUAUUAAUUAUACAUAUUUAUAGAUAACGAAGUUUUACGAUGGUUGAAAUAAAAAAAAAUACCAAUU
rnacentral:misc_RNA from 1 species